GACGAACGCUGGCGGCGUGCCUAACACAUGCAAGUCGAACGGGAGCAAGUGCUUCGGUAUUUGCUUUAGUGGCGAACGGGUGAGUAACGCGUGAAUAACCUGCCUUUCAGUGGGGGACAACAGUCGGAACGACUGCUAAUACCGCAUAAGCCCACGGAACCGCAUGGUUCUGGGGGAAAAGAGCAAUUCGCUUUGAGAUGGCCUCGCGUCCGAUUAGCUGGUUGGUGAGGUAACGGCCCACCAAGGCGACGAUCGGUAGCCGGUCUGAGAGGAUGAACGGCCACAUUGGGACUGAGAUACGGCCCAG
rnacentral:rRNA from 1 species